GGUGAUGUUACAACCAUUGACUCUUGGAGUCUGGCAAUAAUUUCAUAUCCAGUCUGACGUACAACCUCUUUCUCUUCAUCAGUCAGGUACAAUAAAAGAUGCCUAAAGACAGAGAAUUCAAGACAAUGAUUCAAGCGAUUCCCUUGGCUUGGGGAUUCCCAGCAGUUCAUAGGCAAAGAGAGGUUCUUCAAGUACUCUGUCAUAGCUGAUGCUUAUUGGGCACAACAGGAUGUUGGGUACACCGGCGUUAGCAUAGAGAUCAACAACCAUGGAUAGUAAACCUUGAAUUAUAAAACUAAUAUUUGAGAAACACAUAAGGUGCAUGCUGAUUGGCUUUCUACUGAGUUUAUAUCAGAAAAGGAUGCUCAUGCAAAACUGUACAAAAUUUUUUUUUUUUUAAAUCAUUAUCAUAAAACAGCUGCUUAAUUACUAUAUGUCUCUGUAUAGGACUUAACAAUGUCCAGCUAGAACUGGAACUUAUCUGGUCAAAUCUUUGCCUUAGCGAUCACUUUGACCAGAAUGUUUAGCCAGAAAUGAGGUAUGAUUAAGCUAAAAUUAAUUUGACUUGCGAUUUAGACUGAACUACAGAGACAUGCAUUUUAUAUUCCUUAAAUAAAAAAGAAAAUUCAAAUAAAGUAAGAUAUCAUUAGUGCAUAAUAUGAAAAGGGUCUUUUAGUAUUCCAAACUGAGCAAUCCUUCAAAUUUCUUUUUCACUUGGAAUGUUUGCUCCAUUUUAUACAAUUUCUUUACCUAGUUUAGGGUGCAAAAACUUCCCAGUUCUGCUUCUUGUCCCUUCAAUAAAGAAUUCAAGUGGUUUGUUUCCUUUCUGAAGCUGGUUCUGGAUAUAUUCUGUAAAGAUUACCCAGUAUAAUUUGUCUGACACAAAUGACCUUCUCAUGAAGAAUGCACCACUGUGACGGAAGAGUCUUCUUACAACUCUUGCAUUCAUGAAGUCUAAAGGAUCAUAACAAAUAGAAUUAAGUAAAUAAAUGUUUGACAUGA